UUCCAUUCUUUCAAGUCCUGAUGUCACUGAUAUUGCACCAAGUAGAAAGAGGAGGCAGCGAAUGCAAAAAAAUCUUGGGACAGAACCGAAAAUGGCUUCUCAGGAGCAUCAGCUUCAAGAAAAGAAAAAGCUUGAUCCUUCAGUACCUGAGCCGCCGAAAAAGGAGCAUAUAUCAGCUGCUAACAUGUCUUUAGAAACUCUAAGAAACAGCAGUCCAGAAGACCUCUUUGAUGAGAUUUAACAGUCUCCAAACAGUACUUUGAUGUUCACUAGACUGUGUUUUUUAUUCAUUUCUUUAGAAUGAAAAAGCAAAAUUUCAACUCAGCAGUAGCUAUUACUGCACCUUACAAUUUAAUUACAUACACACUGAGUUGAAACCAUUGUGCAAAAUAGAUUACACAUGUAUAUGAAGGUAUGAUUUGAUGACAGUGGUACAUUAUUUUAAACUAUUUAUUCAGCAUGCCUAUAAUUACAUAAAAUUUUAGACUUUUUGUUGCAAAAGAAACAUUUAUCAUAUUCAUUUAUACAUAUUAUAUGUCAUAGCUGUCUAACAUCCUGUCUAGGAAGAUUUUUGGAAAUAGGAAAAAGAAAACAUCUGUUUAAAAUGUCUGCAGUUCUUUUUGAAUAGUUAUGUUCUAAACAAUGAUGUUUGAGCAUUUUAGUUUGUGGGAUAAUAUGUAAAAUAUACAUUUGGUUUCUAUAUAAACAAUCUGAAAAUCAGAUAUUAAAAUUUUUGAUACAUUGAA